rnacentral:rRNA from 1 species
GGCGCUUCGGGAGGGGCCUGCGUCCGAUUAGCUCGUUGGUGAGGUAAAGGCUCACCAAGGCGACGAUCCUUAGCUGGUCUGAGAGGAUGAUCAGCCACACUGGGACUGAGACACGGCCCAGACUCCUACGGGAGGCAGCAGUGGGGAAUAUUGCGCAAUGGGCGGAAGCCUGACGCAGCGACGCCGCGUGGGGGAUGACGGCCUUCGGAUUGUAAACUCCUGUUGAUCGGGACGAACAACCAUCGGGAUAACACCCCGGAGGUCUGACGGUACCGAUCGAGGAAGCCCCGGCUAACUCUGUGCCAGCAGCCGCGGUAAUACAGAGGGGGCAAGCGUUGUUCGGAAUUACUGGGCGUAAAGGGCGCGUAGGCGGCCGCCUAAGUCAGACGUGAAAUCCCUCGGCUCAACCGGGGAACUGCGUCUGAUACUGGGUGGCUUGAAUCCGGGAGAGGGAUGCGGAAUUCCAGGUGUAGCGGUGAAAUGCGUAGAUAUCUGGAGGAACACCGGUGGCGAAGGCGGCAUCCUGGACCGGCAUUGACGCUGAGGCGCGAAAGCCAGGGGAGCAAACGGGAUUAGAUACCCCGGUAGUCCACGCCGUAAACGAUGA